AUGGACGUCGAGCAGUUCCUCGCCGCCGACCAGCUGCCGGCCGACCCCAAGACCAUGAAGGGGUACAAGUACCUCUUCCACGGCGAGGAGGCCAUUCAGCAUCAACAGCAGUUGAGCCACCAAUAUCGUCCUUCCCAGGACAAGAUACUGAUGACGACGACGACCAGCUCGAUGCUGACGAGGACGACGAGCUCGAUCCUGACGGCGACGAUGAGCUCCGCCUCCCCCAAGGUGAAGGGGGUCGUCACGAUCGAAGUAUACCAGUGA
rnacentral:rRNA from 1 species